rnacentral:lncRNA from 1 species
UUUCACAGGGACGAGAGACCUCAUGUCGGCCAUUUUGGAAAGGCAGAAGAGACACUUACUGCUUAUUUGAGGAUAAAAAAAUACCCUUUUCUCUCAUUAUGAACGCGUUACAGUCUUAUUCGAGUGAUGAUGAAUCGGGUGGGGAAGUGCCGGAAAAGAAGAGUCACAAGUGUGGUGACCCAGGCACAAACUACGAUGAUGUAGGAAUGGAUAUAAGUGAGUCGGUGGAGACUUCUGCGACUUUAGGGAACGUUGGUUGGAGCUGAUCACCUGGUAGCGGCAAGAACCCUAACCUUGUAAACUUGGGGUGUAAGCUCAAAAUUUUUGAGCGCAGGUGAGUAGCGUAAGUACUUUUGAUUUAGGAUUAUACCGUUAAGGUUGAGAGUUAAGUAGAUGUUCAUUCAUUGAUUUCUUCUUUUUUUCUGAUUGUUAUUACAAUUAUUAUUAUUAUUAUUAUUAUUACAAUUAUUAUUAUUAUCAUCAUCAUCAUUAUCAUUACUUUUUUAUAUCUGUCUCUUGUAUCAAAAUGAUAUACACGAGGUGUAUUCAACCUGCAGUAUUUAAGUCAUUGAGUGAUGGGCCAUUUAUUUUCAUAACUUCUUACAAUUAUACAGAAAUAGGUUUGAUUAUAU